AAGCCAUACCAUGCUGAAAACACCGGUUCUCGUCCGAUCACCGAAGUUAAGCAUCAUCGAGCGCAGUCAGUACUUGGG